AUUGAACGCUGGCGGCAGGCCUAACACAUGCAAGUCGAGCGGAUGAAGGGAGCUUGCUCCUGGAUUCAGCGGCGGACGGGUGAGUAAUGCCUAGGAAUCUGCCUGGUAGUGGGGGAUAACGUCCGGAAACGGGCGCUAAUACCGCAUACGUCCUGAGGGAGAAAGUGGGGGAUCUUCGGACCUCACGCUAUCAGAUGAGCCUAGGUCGGAUUAGCUAGUUGGUGGGGUAAGGCCUACCAAGGCGACGAUCCGUAACUGGUCUGAGAGGAUGAUCAAUCACACUGGAACUGAGACACGGUCCAGACUCCUACGGGAGGCAGCAGUGGGGAAUAUUGGACAAUGGGCGAAAGCCUGAUCCAGCCAUGCCGCGUGUGUGAAGAAGGUCUUCGGAUUGUAAAGCACUUUAAGUUGGGAGGAAGGGCAGUAAGUUAAUACCUUGCUGUUUUGACGUUACCAACAGAAUAAGCACCGGCUAACUUCGUG
rnacentral:rRNA from 1 species